rnacentral:tRNA from 1 species
GGGGCCGUGGUCUAGCUUGGUAUGAUGGCGGCUUCGGGAGCCGUUGGUCCCGGGUUCAAAUCCCGGCGGCCCCACCA